ensembl:snRNA U6 U6 spliceosomal RNA
GUGUCACUUUGGCAGCACAUAUACUAAAAUUGGAACCAUAUAGAGAAAAUUAACAUGGCCCCUGGGCAAGGAUAACAUGCAAAUCCAUGAAGCGUUCCAUAUUUUU